AGUUGGGAGGCGGGUAGCUGUUCAAACCACCUUGGUAUCAGAAGCAGCCUGGGAAUCGGGAGGCAGGAAGAGGGCUCAGUUGAAUGUCCGGUAGAUAUAUGCUAGAAUAAAGCUCUCUCCUGCUCUUUAGGUUUGUAUUUAUAUACAAUUAUGAGCAAAUGCACACUGAAACUGGAAACUGGGUGACUGUCAGGUAAGAUUACUGAAGGGGCAGCCAAGAGCAAACAACAACAGAAAAAACUCUACUGAGUUGUCUUGGCAUUUUGAACUUACAUGAAGGCUUUAAGUUGCAUAGAAAUAUUCACUGGUGUUCUUGUAAAAAGGGUUUUGUGCAGCAACAAAGCCUUUUUUCACCUCAUACAUCAAACAGUCUGUUAGCAUUUUAGCAAUGUGAUAACUCUUAAUUUGUGGGGGGUGGGACUAACAUAGCAACACGGGACACAGGUGGCACUGUGGUCUAAACCACAGAGCCUAGGGCUUGCCGAUCAGAAGGUCGGCGGUUCGAAUCCCCGCGAACCUAGCAGUUUGAAAGCACGUCAAAGUGCAAGUAGAUAAAUAGGUACUGCUCUGGCGGGAAGGUAAAAGGUGUUUCCGUGCGCUGCUCUGGUUCACCAGAAGCAGCUUAGUCAUGCUGGCCACAUGAUCCAGAAGCUGCCUGCAGACAAAUGCCGGCUCCCUCAGCCAGUAAAGUGAGAUGAGCGCCGCAACCCCAGAGUCGUUCGCGACUGGACUUAACUGACUGGGGUCCCUUUACCUUUAACCUAACAACAACUGUGUACUUCUGGGCUGCAAAGCUUGCUUGAUGCCCAUGCCUUGGUCACAUGAAUGAAGUAAAACAGUACCAAUAUAUUAAGGAAGUGACUGGGCCUAUCUGCUCUCAUUUUGCUUCUAUAAAAAGUUUUUUAGAAAUAAUUUCUAAAAAAACCUUUUUGUUCCUCCUGACAUCCCAAAACAAAAUAUUUAUUUCUAUUCUGAGCCAUUCAGAAAAAAAUGAAUGAAAAACUCGCCUUGGUCUAGAUCGGUAAACAACAAAUGCAAAGUGAGUGAGGAAUUUAAUAGCAAACAAGGCCCAUACAAGCCAUAGUAUGGGAGAGGGCAGGAAGCUCAUAACUAAAAUUUCUGUAUUCACCUGCAGCCUGAGCCUGCUAAAAAAUUUUACAGGGAAGGCUCCUGUGCCUUUAACUGCUGCUUGACAGGCAGAAAUUCAGCAGGUGAGGCUUUAACCAUCGCUGCAUCUGUAUGUCCAAAAUGUUUCAUUUGCAAAUUUUUUGGCUACAUUUUAACAUCUCUAUCCAGGAGUUAGUAGGCUAAUGCUUGGGAGACGGGACUCUUACUUUUGAUGUGGCUAUUGAGCAGAAAGUAAAAGCGCAGUGGAGCACACCGCGUUCAAUUAAAGAAACAGAAAGAGAGAUUUUCAUACGCAAUCAAAAAAUAUUUCAGCACAGCUGACAAAGUGCCAUAGAAUGUGACUUUGCAGUGAGACUGUGCUGCCACCUGCUGGAGCAAAUAAAUCACUACACCAACAGGCACCUGCUGAAAUUGAAAAAAGGCAGAGCCAAAAGUGCUGUCCGAGCAACAGGCUCUGAAAUUACACCCAUUUCGUAAACAGUGGAAGAAAUGUGUCAGCUUUGCCUUGACUGGUGCAUUCUGACUGGUGAACCUGAAUGCGUCUGGCUGAGCAGACGGGGAUUGCUUCUCUCCUGAUCCGACCAGCUCAGAGUCGUGGGCUCACAAGACAUGUGAGGGCAUCCACGUGCGAGACAACCUACACAUAUAACUGUACAUGGAGCUCUCUGAGGAAUGCCUGGAGCGCAGUCCGAGGAGCUACCCAGAGUUUUUUGCUCAUGAGAUUCUGAAAAGAUGUGCAUGGGGGGGGGGGGAGAUUGGAGACUGAAGAAAGGGAGGAGUGGGAAGGACACACAGGCGUGCGCUCCUAACCACUGAGAUCCAAACAGGUCAGAUCUCCAGUGAGGGAAAAUACUAACAGGGACGGUUUCCAUAUGUUACAAGAAGCUAAGGUGCGGACAGAGUUUCUCACACCUGCCCUGGUCAACCAGCUGGGUGCCAUAUUGGGGGAGGGAAAUUCAAAAUCGGGGGGGGGGGAGUAAUGAAAUUUAAAAAUCGGGUGUGUGGGUAAACUUACUGUUAAACCAAGAGCCUCACCCAAACAUAUAGAGCAGCCUGAAACAGGGCAUCCAAGUGCAAAUGUAAUCCCACGUGCACUACCAGCAGCCCUUGUCACUGGUGCCCACUCCAGGGGGCCCUGGGCGCCUGGACUCUCACAAAUUUUUGUUGUGGGUGCCUGGCCCCCAGCUCCACAACCUGCCGCUGCCACUGCCAAACACCACUGCCACCUGGCAGUUGCCCCCUGCCAGUGAGCGCUACUGCCGCCCGAGCUUUGCCCCCCUACCACCGCCUUACCCCUUGUGCUUAGGCAGAGGCUCAGACCCUGGUCCAGAUGCUGUGGCGGCGCUGGAGCAUGGCACAACGCGGCACCCACGCAGUGGGCACCCACGGUGUGGGGCCCAAGUGGGCACCAACGGCCCUUGUUAUGGGGGGAAUUAUGGCACCUGGGGUGGAAUGGUUGUGAGGUAGGGGAGGAACGCACCAGCUUCCCUAACCCACUGUGCAGUUGCCUCUGGCCCACAUGCUUCCUUUAAAGAGGCAGGCAAAACACCUGAAACUGGUUCACAGUUUCUCUCUAGCUACACAGUUUGAGGAUGCAAGUGUAGGCUUCCAGCUCUGUCACACUCCCUGGAAAUGGGGUUGGCUGUUGGAUAUGUGCAGCUGUGUGGGUGAAGGCAGCCACUACUCCCCCCCCCACUCCAUACUUCUCACUUUCCUCCUCUCCAUACUGUCCUCAGUCUCUUUGUUUUCUGUACAGUCUUCAAAUCCUCCAGAAUCUCCUGCAUCAAGAAGGGUAGUAUUUCAGGCAGCCCACAGGGCACCACAUCCCACAGGAUUGCAUGCAAAUCGAAGCCUUUCUCAUGCAGGCUGACAGAUGUGACUCCACUCCUCAAUGUGCAUGGUGUGCUUGUGUGAACACCCUUUUCUACGAGCCUGAUCCAAGUCCUAUCUCCUUAGGCAAGCCACUGUCUCCCAACCUCAGUCUGGAGACAGUACCACACUAUUCUGCCUUGGUCAGAACACCUGGAAUCACCAAGUCCAGUUCUGGGCACCACAAUUUAAGAAGUGUAUUUGCAAGCUGUUUGCAGAAGAGGGCAAGCAAGAUGAUCAAGGGUCUGUCUUAUGAGAAACAGUUAAGGGAGCUGGGUAUGUUUAGCCUGGAGAAGAGAAUACUGAGAGGAGAUAUGACUGUCCUCUUCAAAUAUCUAAAGGGUGUCCGCAGGUUAGGGCACCAAGGACACAUUUUAUCAUCUAUCGUGAAAUGUGGGGUUUGCACCGCCAAAUGUUGUAGGGACCAAUUUGCAGGUGUUUGGCACCCUUUGUGAGUGAAUCGGACGUUGAGUAUUUGGCGAAACCGUGACCCCGCGGGUUAGUGCGCCUACAGUUUCAAACAACAAGCGUUAAUUCCAGAUGUAAGUUCAUCACUCCUGUCUGCACUGUCAACUCACAAACCUGAACUUUCAUUUACUCCAGAUGGUGAGGAACAGGGGUCCCUCAGGCAUUGAUCCUUGGUAAGUAUAGCAAGUAUUGUUUUAUUUAUUUUUAAUAUGUAUUUCCUAAUUUCAGCAGAACUCAUCUCAGGGUGGGAUACAACAUCAUUACAGAUCCCAAAAACAUAUCGAUCACAUUCAAACCACCACAAACCAGACUUCUGUUAAGUGGAAGAACAACCAUAAUUAAAACUACAUAUACUUAAAAAUAACUGAUGCUUAACAGGCACAAAGCAGACCACUACUAGUCUAUGAAUGCCCGGGCAAAAUGAGAGUUUUUUACUUGGUGCCAAAAUGAAAGUCAUGGUGAAGUGUACCAAGAGCGUCCCUUUUCUCAUUUCUAAAUACAGAAACGUAUGCAUUAGAACAGCCUUUGACAUCCUGGUGCCGGCUAUGCUGGAUGGAGCGAGUGGCAGCCCAAAAUAUAUGGAGGGCACCAGGUUGGCAGAGGUUGCAUUAGGAGGUGACUGUAUUUAUUCCCAUGAAGAACUUGGGACCUGCAUCAAGCUUUUGCUAAAGGCACAAAUCAGACCAGGCUGUGGUCAGUUGGCCUGCCACCGCCCACCUCUUCGGUCCUGGAGCAUCUCUCCUUUUUAACACAGAAAACUGAAGUAUGUAAUUCUUAAUGAGUACUUAGAGAGCAGGAUUGCUCAAGUGAUAAUGGCUGUUUGAGGGCAAAUAAAGAUACAACUGCCCACAUCACUAUUAUAACAUGCUCCCAGGAGGUCCAGAAGUAAUUCAUCUGUCAAGGAAAGGGCUUUUAAAGGAGAGAAGAAAUCAAUGACCUAAGAGCCUUGUAUGUAGUCAAAUCAUCUGUGACUAAUCUUGUUCAUUACGAUUGUCUCUAUGAGUUACUGUCAUAGCAGGAAACUGCGGGGGGGGUGGGGGGUGGGCAGGGCGGGAGGAAUGUGUAAAGGCUGGCUAAUAUCCAGCAAUUUAAUGUUCCUGGGAACUUGAAGCAAGUCUCAAAAUAAGCAACCAGCAAAGGGGAUAAGUAAGACCUGCAGACAGAAAAUUUGUUGAAUGCCCAGCAGUCUUUGGGGCUAGUGGGGUGUGGGUUGUGGUGAUGGCAGCACUGUGAUGCAAAAUGGCAAACAACAAUAGAGCUAGAGACAAUCUUGUAUAUUUAAAGUGAUAUGUGUUAUUAAAUAACUCUUAACGAAACCACUUUUAAUUUUAGUAAUAAAUAAGUGCCAAUGCACAUCUGCCAAAUCUGUGGGAGGAAAAUACGAAUCCCUGUGAUCCACAUGUGUGGGGUAAAUAACAACCGCCCAAAAAUGGCUGGGUGCCUCGAUUCAAAGAACACUCUUCAGUAGGGGAGAGUCCCCAGUAGAAGAGUUUUAACUCACAAAGGUCAAGCAGCAGCAUAGUGUGGGCAUGUUGGUUAUUAAACCCUUUUCAUAUCCCACUUGGUUGUGUACAGCACCCCUCUUUCUACCCCUCUUGCAAUGAACAGACCACACACUGUUAAGUAAGUUUAAAAUACUUUACUUACAAAAGUCUCAAAGGUCGGGUUCAUGCAUUUAUCCAAGCAGCAGCAAGGAGAACCCAGGAAGAAUACUCUUGGGUAGAAAAUACAAAAAGAUUGCUUCAAACACAUGCUCUAAGCUUGGAGCUUACUUGGGCACAUCUUCCUUGGUCAGUUACAUUGCACGAAGAAAGAGGGAACAGGAAGAGAAGGCUUUGCUUCCUCCCUCAUCAGAAAAAAGGGGGCAUGACCUGAGCCUAGGAAUUUAACUCUAUGGUCUUAACCCAUUCAUAAACUAACUAGUACUCAUGCAUAGUUAUGUUUGACUGCAAUUUCCCACAAAAUCACCCUGAUGCCUUUGGAAGCACUGACCAAAACAUUUAUUUCUUAGUGAACAACUGAGUAGCUAUACCACCUGAAGAUGUCCCUUAUAUCCGCAUAAAUGAAAGGGUUGGCCCGUCACUGUUGAACAUCUUGGAUGCUUAUACCAACUCCCUAGGAUGCCAACGCCUCAUUAAGUGUGGCUUGGAAGGUCAGGUCCUUCUUUGUGAAAAGGCGCCAUUGCAGUUCCUUGUCGCGUAAGCCACACACAAACCAGCCAUGGAGCAAAGUCUCCAGAUCAAGGAAACGGCAAAGGCAAAAGCCACAAUGAAAGCCGCCACUAAUUUGGUUGGAGCUUGAUCCAUUUGCUGGUGGGCUAUUUCUGAUGCUUGUAGUGGAAAGUGUUCUUGUAGUUUCUCCAUUAUGUCCUUGAAUGAACCCCGGGUCGGUGACCUUAUUGGCUGCGACACAGAACUCUAGCUUGGUAGCAUGUAAGUCCCAUUUUCCCGGGACCGUUCUGUCAAAUUCAUCAAUGUGGCCCUGUGCGGCCAUAACGUUCUGCCCUGAGCGCACCUUGGCAACGGCCAGAAUUGAACCAAGGCAGUGGUCUCGCCCUCAAUAGUGGUUUCAGCUCUGUCUAGCCUACCCAUCCUGACGUCCCACCUUCAUUGCUAGUAAAGUGUACUUGGGUUUCUAUGAGGCAAGACAUUGUGAUUACAGCAAGAGACUUUAUUGAGCUAACAGAACAGAACAGUCAAACCGGGGCAAAGCAACUAUUUCUGAAGGCCUGAGCCACUCCCACUCUCAACAUGACUGGCCGUCUAAACCUCCAAGAGCUUAAGAGCCAAUGCCAGUAGCCCAAACACUGGAAAUAAUACAUGAUUGGAUAUCAUGUAUCGAAUCAGAACACAGGACUCAGAAUCCUAGUCCAGACUCAAGCUCAGAUGAACACAGACCAUCGCAUACAUAACAGUUGGCUCUGCAAAUCUGCUCUCACCUGAAUACAAGUUGAUGCUGAGGCAUACAAGACACACAUCUGUUGUCUAGAUUCUCUAGCUACUUACUGUAUUUACUCAAAUGUAAUACGUACCUUUUCCAGCCAAAUUACGUCGUGAAAAUUAGGGUGCGCAUUAGAUUUGAUGGCGCAUUUACAUUCACCAGCAAAUACUUUUUUUGUUUCAAGGUUUUGCAAACUGAGGUGUGCAUUAGAUUCAGUGUUGCAUUAGAUUCGCAUAUAUGCAGUAAGUUCUGAUUUGACGGUUCUACCAUCUUUAGCUCUGUUGACAAAGCUAAGUAUGGAAGAUGAGCAGUGUCUGAAAGCUGUGAAAUCACUUGGAAGAAAACAGACAACCACCAUGUUGAGAUAAGAUAUAGCCAUGGCCAGCCCUACCACUAGGCAGAGUGAAGCAGCUGCCUCAGGUGGCAGAUGCUAGGCAGGGGUGGUGCAGGGAGUGGUGGCUAUCUGUCCUCUGGAGGGCAAUGUAUUUCCACCAGCAUCAAAAUAUGAUUAUAUUGCCUAUCUAUUCAACUUUUUAAAAUGAAAUGGGGGAGUCAUCCUGUCCUUCACCUCCUGCAGCAAAAUGUCUUGGGCUGAUUCUGGAAACAACCACCAAACACUACCAGUGAGGCAUCUGAUCAAGGCCUGUAUUUUAAAAUGAGCUUAAAGAUAUAUUUGCAAAUGUUUGUAUGUUUCAUGCCAGGCAGAAACCAGCUGGCUAAGUACUUUGGCAGUUGUUUAUCUUCCUGCUCUCCUGAACAAGGGCCCCCCUGAUUUAUAGCAGUAGCAGGAGACAAGUUUCUCAAAGUUGUAAAAGGAAAUUACAGGCUGGGAGCAAAUGUUACACUGACCCUACAUAUUACAGAAUACAAUCAAGCUGCAAAAACACUAAUUAAGAGUUGGUAAAUAGUAAGAUUUAUUGUUUAACAGAAAAUAAUACCAUGUGCCUCCCAUCAGACUCUAGCCAUAUUUUCCUAAGGUUUAAGGUAUACUGAGAGAGUUAAAGGGCAAUAAAUUUUGGGAAGAGCUAAUGGGAAAAGCAGCUGGCUGGGAAGGGGGGGGUGUAAACUGAAGAGGCUUCUUUUGAAGCUGUUUUUACUGAGUUCCUUUUUACUUUGCAAAGGCCUUUUCUUCUAAAAAGCUAUCUAUGUUAUGUAUGAGAUUUGUUGGCUUAAUGUAAUUAUGCAAAGGAUUUAGAAAGUAAGAAAUGUUAGAUUCUUAUGUUAGAUUCUUAUUUCAUUGAUGGUGUGUGAGAAUGUGAACCCAAGAUCUCUGUUUAGAUAGAAUUUAAUACCAUGAGCCAUUUGUUUUAGCCAUUUGUUUUGGAAUGCAGGGGCAACAGGGGCAAAAGGUGAUCUGGUAAUUAAGGUGCCUUGUCGAGGCAAAUGUAAGAUAUAUGGCUACUUGUCUGCCAUUUAUGGAUAGAAGGAAAUAUAGCUCUUUGUCUCCCAUAAAAGGUAAUAGGAAAUGGGUGUAUCUUUUAUGAUUGGUUCUAGCAAACAGCCAAUAGGAAUUUCAACCAGGCUGAUUGGACAGAGGCAGCCAAAGGAGGAGCAAGGGGGCUGGGCUGAGGAAAUAUAAGUGCUGGCCAUCAGGGCUGGAGGGGGCAGAGCUUUGGUAACCAUAUACCACUGUGCCUAUCAUUUAUUUGUCUGACAAAUAAAUUAUUAUUUUAAUUUCUCUAUUGCUGUGUUGAAUAUUUCAUUCCAGCUAAGCGUUAACCACAAGCAGGGUGCUACACCAGCAGGGCAAAAAUGACUAUGACCUACCCAAAUUCCUAGCUGCUGUGCUCACAAAUGACAUUCCUUCCCCUCCCUCUUGACUCCUCUCCUAGUAUGAAACCAUCUCUGCUUGGAAUUUUGCAGCGAAGUGUUUGUUUCAACCUCUUUUGUAAUCUACUGCCAUGAUAUAAGCUCUCCCCUUGGGUUUGGACUGUGUGCAUUUUUCAGAUUUCUUCUCUUUUCCUUUGUGGUGCCUGACCAUGUCAUGCACAGGGAGGGUCUUCUUUGAAUCCACAACUCCCCCCCCCCCCGCCCUCCUGCAAAGAGCUAGUAAAAUAAUUCUGCGUGCUGCCAAAGUGUUUGGCCCCAAGACAGCACCUGAGAUGAGGCAGAGGUAAACAAAUGGAGAUUGCUUCAGCCAGGAACAAAGAAGGCCCCUGUCAAAAUCCAGCAGAGGGAUUUGAUUUUGGGUGUUGCAACAAAGCGAGGGGAAGGUUUCCUGCCAAGCUAACAAUGCACUGUACUCUGCAAUUAAUACUCUUGGCUCCCUCCAAUUACCAUCUUCACAGACGCUUAUGAGAAACAGGUGUCUCCUUUGUUUCCCUUUAUUCCGCCUUUCUGGCGACACAAUUAAGAACAGGCCUCCUGACAACGAGGGCAGAGUCCCCUUUGUUGAAACUCCUCAACAGUGGUGAAGGUGGCAGCCAGCACAUGGACCCAAGAGUUGAGUCACUGCGCUCACAGCAGCCUCAAAGUGCGUCACUGGAACAGAACAAAGCUGCCACCACUUAAGAACCACAGUUCUGGGGACAGAAGGGGAAGGGACUUGUCUAAGGGUGCUCUUUAAAUCUGCUUCCAGAGGCAGCUCUUGAGGACUCUAUUCAACCGCCCUUUCUGCAUUGUGAACCCAGGCCCUGCUCUCCCCAUGAACAUUGAGGCCAAUCGGUGCUUUUCACUCCACUCUAAACCUCAGUUCACCCUUCUUUUACUUCUAACCAGGGGCACUACUUCCUUUCCCCAGUGAGGCUCCUGUGCUGGUUAACAGUUAGAAUAACAGCUGCUGCAGCAGCAGCUCAGAUAUAAGCCAUGCCAGAAACUAGGGGUGGUCUGGGACCUGAAAGGAAACCCUUGCUAAAAAGUCUUAUGUCAACCAGGAGGCAGUACUUCCUGACCACAGCUGUCAACUUUCCCCUUUUCUUGCGAGGAAUCCUAUUCGGAAUAAGGGAAUUUCCCUUUAAAAAAGGGAAAAGUUGACAGCUAUGUUCCUGACUGCCUCACCCUGGAACCACUGGGGAAAGUGCUUUUAGUGAUAAUGCAUGAAGAUCUAUCAACUGGGAUCUCUUAUUUCAGGGGUGAGGAACGCAGGUGGCGCUGUGGUCUAAACCACUGAGCCUCUUGGGCUUGCCGAUCAGAAGGUCAGCGGUUCGAAUCCCCGCAACGGGGUGAGCUCCCAUUGCUCUGUCCCUGCUCCUGCCAACCUAGCAGUUCAAAAGCACGUCAGAGUGCAAGUAGAUAAAUAGGUACCACUCCGGUGGGAAGGUAAACGCCGUUUCCGUGCGCUGCUCUAGUUUGACAGAAGCGGCUGAGUCAUGCUGGCCACAUGACCCAGAAGCUGUACGCCUGCUCCCUCGGCCAUUAAAGCAAGAUGAGCGCCGCAACCCCAGAGUUGUCCGCGACUGGACCUAAAGGUCAAGGGUACCUUUACCUUUACCUAUAUCAGGGGUGAGCAGCUGCGACUGCUCCCAUUUACCUCUCUUGCACUAUUGGUUUACAGACAUGAGCGCCUCAGUGGAUUCCCCUCUCUCCACUUGCCAGCACAGAGCACAGCCAGAAAGGGACCACCACUCAGUGACUGAGGUGGUAUGCCUAGCAUUGCGAAAGGUCCCAGGUUUAAUCUAAGUGUCUCCAGUUUAAGAAGAUCUGGAAGCAGGAUGAUGAGGAAAAUCCUUUUUAUGAGACUCUGGAGAGCCCCUGCCAGUUCUGAGACAGUCUAAGCUGGGGCAAUGCAGCUUCCUAUACAGUGGUACCUCAGGUUAAGUACUUACUUCGUUCUGGAGGUCUGUACUUAACCUGAAACUGUUCUUAACCUGAAGCACCGCUUUAGCUAAUGGGGCCUCCUGCUGCUGCAGCGCUGCCGGAGCACAAUUUCUGUUCUCAUCCUGAAGCAAAGUUCUUAACCUGAAGCAAUAUUUCUGGGUUAACAGAGUCUGUAACCUGAAGCGUAUGUAACCUGAAGCGUAUGUAACCCGAGGUACCACUGUAUUGCUAUGAAAUCAUUCAGCCAUGUGUUUCCAGCCCCAGAAAUGUGACGGGGUCCCUGGACUGCCUCCUCCCUUUCAAGUAAAUAAAUAAAAAUACUUAACUAACUGACUAAUUGGGUCACAGAUAACUCGGUUCUGCCCCCCCCCAACCUGACACCCCCCCCCCCCAAAAGAUCCUGGCUAUGCCCAUGACGGGCUCAUGUAAGAGAUGCCACCAUGUGUUGCUGAUUUAUGUGCAUAUAGGCUUUAAGAAUGCCACUGUCUCAGACAUUCCCACUGCCAGGCUAUGGGCACUGAGCACAGGCUGAGUUGUUUUCCAGUUGAAGUUAACUGAGACUUGCCGUGAGGGGGGCAGUCCUACGUCUGAGCCCAGAGUGAGGUUUCAAAAUAUACAAGAUGGCUCUUUUUAAUUCAGUCAAGAGCCCUGCAGUAUUUAUAAGCCACAUUUCAAUCUUGAAGCACUACCGGUAUCAUUCACAAAUGGAUGUACUCUAUCUGAAGUAGCUCAUUGAUCCUCUGCAUCCAAUAUUAUCAUCAUGGAUUUGUAUCAAUUUGUAACUUGGCGAAGUGCAAGAGUCCAGUCCUAUGCUUAGUCACUAGGAGCAUGGAGACUUUUCGAGCUUGUGAAACCUUCACUUUGUGAAAGUUUUGGUAGCUGGGAUGUGUCCUAAAGUGAUUUUCAAGGCAUAAAUGGGAGCUCAGUCUAACACUUAGUCAACACUAGGUCAUGCUACCUCUUAAUAUUUCUUUAAUAAAUGCCAAUAGAACAAUUCUCUAGCCUUUCAGCUCCAACCAAUUAAAAAAACAACAGAACUUCCCCUGCAGUGAGGCUCAGAGAACUCAAAAAUCUUGCCUCUCAGCCCAUCCUUCUCUAACCACUGCACAAGCUUUUCUUCCCAUGUGGCUCAUCAUCCAAAGUGAUUUAGGGACGAAGGAAGAACCUUGCAUGACUUGUUUUGUGGUAUCGUCUUCUCUUCCCUUCACAACCAAAGAUGAUAAGGCCCCCUCCAUAUCCCCAAAUCUGCAGGACUUAAGACACUGAAAUGUUUGUUCUAGUUAUUUCAAUAACUUUGACUAACUUCUCUUAAAAGCUUCUAAACUCUGUGAGGAUCCAAGAACGUAACGUGAUCUUUGAUCGAUACGAGUGUAAGCAGUUGUACCAAAUCUAUUGAUCCGUCAGACAUAUGAAAGGAUAUGCUGCCUUUUGGUCACAAGAAUCCCCAAGGAGACAACAGAAUAAAGCAUAUCUAUGGGCUACUUUUAAAAUGAGGCUGCAUUUUAAAUUGCAUUUUAACCUGUAUUUUAAAUUGGGUCCCCCCCCCCCAUUAUGUUUUUACUGUAAUUUUACUGGUGUCAGCCGCCCUGAGCCAGGCUCUGGCCAGGGAGAGCGGGGUAUAAAUAAAAUUUAUUAUUAUUAUUAUUAUUAUUAUUUGCAAAGCACACAAGAAAAGAAAAUGCAGAGAAGCGGAGAGCUAGAAACCAGAGCUAUUCUAAAGAAACCUUCUGCAACAGCAAGAAGAAAAUGAAUGGAACCCAAACACAUGGAGAAGUAACAGCAACUUUUCCUAAGGGCUGAGAGAAGGGGGAUUAGUUGGGCCCCCUACCCGCUGUCACAACCUUUGGGAAAUGCCCCUCCACCCUUUUGGGGAAAGAAUUCUACAUCAAGUUUGGAAACCGACUCCCUAGAAGUAACAACAUCUGCCAGUAGAGGGUACUCUUGUCUUCUAUUCAACAUCAAAGCGAACACAUAAGCUUCCCUUUCUGUCUCUCAGUCCAGGCAGCGGCUUCCUCCUUCCAGGGUUAUGAUACAGGCCCCAAAGGUGCCCAUUCAAAUUACGAAUCUUGAAGUGUCCUGUUUUCUUCUUGAAGGCCAGAUAAAGCCACUGUGUAAAGGUAAAGGUAAAGGGACCCCUGACCAUUAGGUCCAGUCGUGGCCGACUCUGGGGUUGCAGUGCUCAUCUCGCUUUAUUGGCUGAAGGAGCCGGUGUACAGCUUCUGGGUCAUGUGGCCAGCAUGAUUAAGCCACUUCUGGCGAACCAGAGCAGUGUACAGAAACGCCGUUUACCUUCCUGCCGGAGCAGUACCUAUUUAUCUACUUGCACUUUGACGUGCUUUCGAACUGCUAGGUUGGCAGGAGCAGGGACCGAGCAACGGGAGCUCACCCCAUUGCAGGGAUUCAAACCGCCGACCUUCUGAUCAGCAAGUCCUAGGCUCUGUGGUUUAACCCACAGCGCCACCCUCAUCUACUGUGUAAAUAACAUCAAACCACUGAAGAGGUGGGGUGCUCUGAGAAGCUCAUGUGUCUGGGGGGGGGGGGAGCUGCUGGCAUGUUCUACUGCCUGAGAACCUGCAGCUUCCUGCUUGUAUUUUAUUUUUUCCACUGCAAGGCUUCAAAACAUCUGCUCAAUUCCAAAAGAAUGCACAUUGUUUUCCAGCCACUAAUCUAAGGGUAAUAGGAAGCAGUUGAAAGGAUUAACAAAGUGCCGAUUAAAUAAUUCCCCCCCCCCACCGCUCCAACCCAUGACUGGGCAGGGUUCCAUGGAAUCCAUGUGCUUUGUUUCAGCAGAGGCUCCUUGAUGAGAAAGCACAAGCAAGGCAGCUUUGUCCCCGUGCAGAAUCCUGACAAUGCAAAGCUGUUGCAGAGAAGGCGCAGAGUUCGCUGUUGUGCAUGGCAGAAUCAUAGCCGUAGAAAGUUAAUUCCCAAUGUCCUUUCCCAACAGCAUAGAAGAAUGUAUUCUUCUGGUUUCUUCUAUCAUGUGGGUUAGAUGGCACGAUGGCAGAGGAGCUGGCAUUAGCAGACGGCCUCUCAUAUAUUAAAGAAGCAAUGGAUGCUCUCCGAGAAUGCUUUGCCCUGAAUGUGCUGAUAAUGUGCUGAAGAUGCUACAAAACCAAGAGGAGGAGAGGGAUUCAGAAUGGUCCAGAAUCUGGGCUUCAGAUAAUGUGGAGCACAGGAAAGCUGAAAACAUUUUACCCAUUGCCAGAGGGAGGGAGCGUGGGAAAACCCUAAUUUCACAUGGACAUUGAUGCAGCCUGAAUGGAAGUUUCCCCUAUAGAAGUUACUUCCAUUAAGACAGUGGUUCCCACCCUUUUUUUGACCAUGCCUCACCUAAGCAUCUCUAAAAUCCUGAUGCCCAUAGCUGUCAACAUUUCCCUUUUCUUGCGAGGAAUCCUAUUCGGAAUAAGCGAAUUUCCCUUUAAAAAAGGGAAACAUUGACAGCUAUGCUGAUGCCCCCUCCCGACAUAUAAUUCUUAUUAUUCAAAAAGCGAACUAUUCACGUGGAAGAAGCCAAAAAGGUCAUUAACUUGGUCUAACUCAUUCUCGAACUGCCCCCCUUAAAUAUCAAAUGGCCCCCCCUUAUGGGGCAGGUGCCCCACGUUGGUAACCGCAACAUUAAGAUGAACAGGAGCUGUGUAUGUAGUACGCUUGGACAGCUCUUAUCCAUUUCUCCGGGGAUUGUCCAGGCCAGUAUUCUCGUGGGCCCAAAACAUGCCUCCCUUAUUCAGUGGCCCUGAAUAAAAGCUAACACAAAUGAGCCACCUUCAUGGGAAGGUUGCGUCUGCAGGAAAAUUAGUUUCUAUUAUUCUUUGACAAUUUGAAGGCUGUGCUUCGCUGCCAGAGCAUCACUGAUCUGAACUGAAUGGCAAAGUCACCAACUGAAGAAGCCUAAAUCGUGCAUUCAGUCUCGUAGGCCAUCUACAUAAAAACCCCCACUUAAGACCUUCACAAACUUGUGCAGCUUGAAUUCUGAUUUUCAAGAGAAACAAAUAUUGCAGCUUGUUUUGUGAAUAGGUUUUUUUGUUCUCUUCUUUUUUUUUAAAAAAAAGGGUCUCUCUCUCUGUUUCAACACCAAACAAAAUGCAUGCGUUUCUGUACAACAAACCAAUUCAUCCUCUUCUUAUUUGUAUCACGUCCAUCGUGGCAUUUGUAAUCAGUUUUGCUCUUUAAAGAAUUGGCCGCCUGGUGAGGAAGCUUAUGUAAUACAACAGCUUCCUCUCAUACUCUGCCUAUUCCAAAAACAGCUAGACUGAUCAAAGAUAUCAACAAUGUUAAGAGCAGUCCCUGCUCGACUGGACCAAAGCCUUAGCUAGUUCAGUGACAACCAUAUGUCCCAGGAAGCUUACAAGCAAGACCCCAGCAUCUGGCUAUCCAGAGGUAUCUUGCCUCUGUAGUAAUGGAGCUUUCAUUUAGGCUUCGUGGCUAAUACCCGCUGAUAGACCUAACCAUCUGCAAAUCUCACUAAUCCUGUAUAAAAGCUGGCAUGACAGCUUGUGACAGCAAAUUCUUUAAGUCAGGUGAAGUUGUGUUGCUGGGAACUCCCAGCAGCCCCAGUCAGCCUGGCCCAAUGGCCAGCAAUUAUGGGAGCUGUAUUCCACAACACCUGUAGGGGCAACAGGUAUCCCACCCCGUUCCAAUAUAGUUCCGUUUUGGGAGAACGUAAGCAUGAUAUACACUGCCCAGAGUAAUGCUGACAAUAUCAUGGGAGAUUUGAGUCAAAAGAAGAGGCAGCAUCUAGCAGUUGCAGAACAGUGUGUCAGAACUGACAUGGCACUCUGUUUCUGCUCAUGCUAAAAACACAAGACACAUGAUCAUACCAGCUCCCCAACCUCCCAGUGCUGCUAGUGGGCUAUUCCCGUCCCCAAGUCACUGAGAGCCAGUCUCAUAGGAACCAGACAGAGCCACGAACCAGGAAAGACUUGCUUCGUAUCUCACUUCAAUAUAAUGAACUCACUAUGUGCUGUAAGCCGCCCAGAGUGGCUGGGGAAACCCAUCCAGUUGGGCGGGGGUAUAAAUAAUAAUAAUAAUAAUAAUAAUAAUAAUAAUAAUAAUAAUAAUAAAUAUAAUAGAGCUAAGGCAUGCUGCAGUUCUCAGACCCACAUCUGCAACAGGGCUUUUAUAAGCAUUAAGUUUGUGGCCUGGAUUCAGCUAAGUACAGUGGUAUCUCGGGUUACAUACGCUUCAGGUUACAGACUCCGCUAACCCAGAAAUAGUGCUUCAGGUUAAGAACUUUGCUUCAGGAUGAGAACAAAAAUUGUGCUCCAGCGGCACAGCAGAAUCAGGAGGCCCCAUUAGCUAAAGUGGUGCUUCAAGGUUACAAACAGUUUCAGGUUAAGAACGGACCUCUGGAACGAAUUAAGUACUUAACCUGAGGUACCACUGUAGUUUUGCAAGUGGCAGCCUGCACUAGGGCUUCUGCUAGUGCAACAAGCCUUUCCCUCCUCCUUUUCUCCCCCAAUUGGCCCAAUGCCCCAGGUGGUGGUGGGGAGGGCUCCCAGAACAGUGCACAGGGGAAGAGCAGGGCAGAUCACUCCAUCAAAGAAAUACAGAAAAGCUUGUGCUGACAGAGCAAUCUGCUUAGCGCUACGUUGAAUUCCUCCCUAUGUCUGUAUUUACUACUACUACUACUACUAAAACACUGUAGUAUGGCAUGCUCUUGUUCAGAGUUCCCGUCAGCCAGCCAGGUUUCUUCCUCAUCCCCCCACCCACCCUCAGGAGACCUUCAUUCUUUUCCACUGAUCUUCAGUCCCCCACCCUGCAAUGAGCUGUCAGUCAAAUUUCCAUGCCCGCUGAGCAUGCUCAGUCCUCAAUGGGCUAUUUGGGGGCUUCCCCUCCCUUAAUGACCCCCCCCCUGUAAAUAUUUGUGCCUGUGUGUGUGUUUCUGUAAACUUUGAGGUUUCUCCAAGCCUAUGGAUGAUAUACAGAUGGUGACAUUUUGGCUCCAUAAGGAUCCUACUGUAGGAUUAUUAUAUGGGAUGGUAGAAUUGUUAUUAAACAUUGAGCUAUAUGCAUCUCAUUCUGCUUAAGCACCACGUGCCUAAUCCAGACAUAAGGUGGGAGAGAGAAUUCCUCCAUGAUUUCUGGGUGAGAAUGUUUUUAUAUGCUGUGUUUUUCCAAGUAGCAACCCAAGCAGCCCAAGAGAGAAGCAUCAGAUAGCAGGCAUUUUGUGUCAUGCUUCCCUGGUUGAUAAAGGCACUUUGCAUUCCCAAAUGAUAAUUCCAAUGUGGGUGGCUCCUGACCCGCAAAUGCCAUGCCUUGCUUGCACCUAAGAAGGCUGCCACUUGCUGUUGAAUGGCAAAAUGCUGUUACUUGACAGCCCGACCAGGAACUGCCCGAUAUCUCCGUGAGCCAAUCAGAAUCACAUCAAACAAUUUCAAGCACCUCUUAAUAUAGGGAUGGAACUGGCAGUGACUGCCAGCUCAGUGAGUCACAGAAUAAUAGAAUCACAGAAUUGUAGAAUUGGAAGGGACCCCAAUGAUCAUCUAUUCCAACGCCCCGCCGUGCAGGAAUCCCAACUAAAGCAUCCAUGGCAGAUAACCAUCCAACAUCUGCUUAAAAAGGAAGGAGAGUCUGCCACUCUGUUCCACUGUCAAACAGCUCUUACUGUCAGAAAGUUCUUCCUGAUGUUGUGCCAGAAUCUCCUUUCUUGCAAGUUGAAGUCAUUGAUUUGGGUCCUACCCUCCAGAGCAGAAGAAAACAAGCUUGCUCCAUCUUUCAUGUGACAGUCCUUGAGAUAUCUGAAGAUCUAUAUCUCCUUUUAGUCUCUUUUUCUCCAGGCUACACAUACCCAACUCCCCCCUCCUCUGCACACAUUCCCGCUUGUCAAUGAGGACAUCUUAAAUAGUGGUGCCAAGAACUGGACACAGGACUUCAGGUGUAGUCUGAGCAAGGCAGAAUAGAGUGGGACUAUUAACCUUUCUUGAUUGGGACACUAGACUUACUUCAGUACUCAGAACACCUACAAGUCCCUCUCAAAAGUCCUCCACUCUGUUGCUCUCCCCUCAUGCAUCUUCUUCCCCGUCUGGGAAGCUGUUUUAUAAUAAAUCAUAUUAUUGGUCUGUCUAGCUAAGAGAUCUAGACAGGGCACUUUCUCAGUCCCACCUCAAAAGGCUGGUCACUGACCUUGGGACCAUUUGCAUGCAUAGCAUGGGCUCCAACACUGAACUAAGGUCCUUCCCAAAAUUCAUGCCCCAUGUUUUGCUAAGACUCAAAUCAUUUUUCUUCCAGUUACUUGACAAAAAAAAGUAAACACAGCACUGAAAAGGCGUACCGGAAAUGCUAUCAUUCUGAAGGCAAAGUCUCCAAGAAACACACACAUUGUGCAACUGUGUACACUUUUCAUAGCAUACAAAUUAAAUAACAGAAUUUUUCCAAAUGUACACCAGCUGCAGAACUUGAUUCUAGGCCUGGCUCUUGCAUAAUCUGGGAAUUUUUUUAAAGUUAAAAAACAGGGUCGCUGGGUCUGUAUGUGUGUGUCAAGUGUAGGCCGUGCGGUGCCCUGUAGAUUCUGUGGACUCCCAAUUACCAGGGAUGAUGACACCUAGAGUCCAACAACAUAUGGAAGGCAUCACAUUGUGUAUCCCACACAGUGUGCCACACAGGGAUGUGGUAGUGCAGCUGCCCCCACAAUAAACCCCAUCCCUUCAUACAGCCAACCAAAGUGGGCAGGGCCACAAUUUCGUGCACACCCAAGUAUGGUAAAUUACACAAAUUCAUGCACAACACACAUGUACAAAGCACACCAUACGAGGCUUUUUUAGGGAGAUAGCAUGUCUCGAAGCAUAUACAGAGCUGCUUUCCCCAUGACAGGAAACAUCUUUUUUUUUAAAAACACACCAAACCCUCCCCCAAAUAGCCCUGUCUUAUAACAACACCAGGUGCAGAACUGUUGCUUUUUUGGCUUUCCAUCCUCCUGCGCUCUAGCGACUGACCAGGAGGAAGGAACUGUGGCCCUUUGUGACCACGAUGGACAAGAGAGGUCAGUGGCCUUGGCAGCGGAAAACCCUCUUUCUGAGAACCAAGCAUGCCGUCCCCUUGAGGUGGAUGCGGCCUGACAGGUAAAGCCAGAGCUGCUGUUUGUCUUGUCACCACAAAGGUCAUGCCAUCGCCUUCCAAGGGUACAUCUUGCUGCCAUGAUUUAUUGAACAGGCCCUGCGGCUCUUGCUAAGCUCCCAGCAGUCAGCGGCUGACUCACUCUCUCCCCUCCCCUCCCCCUGCUCUUUCCCAGCCAGCUAUAUUCCCACCGACUCACUUGGCAAAGAAUCCUAGCUGAUCCUAAAGCGCACUGCCCUCCUUCUCCUUUUACCAGCAGGACCACUGCAAGGAAUUCCUGGGUCUGGAUAGCUGGGUUAGUGUCAAGAGGGCUUCGUGGAUUCUGCACACAAGCGAGACAAAAUCGUCCCAGGAUUGAGCUGGCACUCGGACUCAGGAAUUCUGGUGUGGCCCUUCAGCCUGGGGUGCUCCCCAGGCCAGCCGCCCUCUUCA
rnacentral:lncRNA from 1 species